rnacentral:rRNA from 1 species
GAUGAACGCUGGCGGCGUGCUUAACACAUGCAAGUCGAACGAUGAAGCCCAGCUUGCUGGGUGGAUUAGUGGCGAACGGGUGAGUAACACGUGAGCAACCUGCCCCUGACUCUGGGAUAAGCGCUGGAAACGGCGUCUAAUACUGGAUAUGUCCCGUCACCGCAUGGUGUGCGGGUGGAAAGAUUUUUCGGUUGGGGAUGGGCUCGCGGCCUAUCAGCUUGUUGGUGUGGUAAUGGCUCACCAAGGCGUCGACGGGUAGCCGGCCUGAGGGGGUGACCGGCCACACUGGGACUGAGACACGGCCCAGACUCCUACGGGAGGCAGCAGUGGGGAAUAUUGCACAAUGGGCGGAAGCCUGAUGCAGCAACGCCGCGUGAGGGAUGACGGCCUUCGGGUUGUAAACCUCUUUUAGCAGGGAAGAAGCGAAAGUGACGGUACCUGCAGAAAAAGCACCGGCUAACUACGUG